GUAGUACCUCUGGUGUACCAGUUGUUCUGCCAAGGGCAUGGCUGGGUAGCUAUGUACGGAAUGGAUAAGCGCUGAAAGCAUCUAAGCGCGAAGCCAACUUCAAGAUAAGAUUUCCCACCGUAAGGGUAAGAUCCCAGGAAGACUACCUGGUUGAUAGGUCGGAGGUGUAAGUGCAGCAAUGUAUGUAGCUUACCGAUACUAAUAGAUCGAGGACUUGACCAA
rnacentral:rRNA from 1 species